GAUGAACGCUGGCGGCGUGCCUAAUACAUGCAAGUCGAGCGAACAGACGAUGAUCUUGCUGCGCUGACGUGUGCGGCGGGCGUGUGAGUAACGCGUGUAUAACCUACCUAUAAGACUGGUAUAACUUCGGGAAACCGGAGCUAAUACGGUAGAAGAUAUUGAACCGCAGGGGUGAAUAGUAAAAGACGGUUGUGCUGUCACUUAUAGAGGGAUCCGCGCCGCAUUAGCUAGUUGGUAAGGUAACGGCUUACGAAGGCGACGAGGCGUAGCCGACCUCAGAGGCUGAUAGGCGACCCUGGAACGGGGACACGGUCCAGACUACUAAGGGACGCAGCAGUAGGGAACCUGCCGCAAUGGGCGAAAGCCUGACGGAGCAACGCGGAGUGAGUGAUGACGGUCUUCGGAGCGUAAAACCCUGCUAUUAGGGAAGAACAAAUGUGUACGUAAAUAUGCCCGUCUUGACGGUACCUAAUCAGAAAGCAACGGCUAACUACGUG
rnacentral:rRNA from 1 species